rnacentral:rRNA from 1 species
AUGCACGCUGGCGGCGUGCCUAAUCCAUGCCAGUAGAACGCUGAAGGAGGAGCUUGCUCUUCUGGAUGAGUUGCGAACGGGUGAGUAACGCGUAGGUAACCUGCCUGGUAGCGGGGGAUAACUAUUGGAAACGAUAGCUAAUACCGCAUGACAACAGUUAUUGCAUGAUAACUGUUUAAAAGGGGCAACUGCUCCACUACCAGAUGGACCUGCGUUGUAUUAGCUAGUUGGUGAGGUAACGGCUCACCAAGGCGACGAUACAUAGCCGACCUGAGAGGGUGAUCGGCCACACUGGGACUGAGACACGGCCCAGACUCCUACGGGAGGCAGCAGUAGGGAAUCUUCGGCAAUGGACGGAAGUCUGACCGAGCAACGCCGCGUGAGUGAAGAAGGUUUUCGGAUCGUAAAGCUCUGUUGUAAGAGAAGAACGAGUGUGAGAGUGGAAAGUUCACACUGUGACGGUAUCUUACCAGAAAGGGACGGCUAACUACGUG